rnacentral:lncRNA from 1 species
UAAAGUCCUGAACACAAGGUUUUAUACACAGGAUCCUGUUCAGUAAAGUUUAUGCAAACUAAAGACAGCACAGCACGACUUGAGGAACAAAGGUGAAGUUUCCGCGCAGAUGUCUGAGUACUGGGAAUCAUUCUCCUUUAACCUUCCCAUCAAACUCCUGGCUGGGGGUGAGUGGAAAAUUCUAAAGAGCACCUGCUCCCCUGUGAGCAUUAGACUAAUCCACUAUGAAGCCUCCAGAACGUUUGUGGAUGUGAGGAUUAAAGGAGACAGAAGAGCCCCAGCUUCAGGGAAGGCGCAAGUUCACAGGAUGUGAUACAACACUUGUCAUUCAUCGGGCCUGAAAAAAACCAAGAACAAGGAAACAUGGAGGAGGCAUGUCAAUAGUUGAUCAAAUCACCGAAGGGCAAUUCUUAAGUCCCUUUUCAUCACAAAAGCUUUAAAAAUACUGAUGUGAUUUUAAUGACAAUGCUGCUUCUGUAGAACCUGGGUGCAAUCAAGUCAUCUUAAUUCUUCUCGUGGAAGUUGGUAAAGAGCUGGGCCACCUAGAACCUAGCAGAGAGGAGGCGAGGUUUAAUGAAGGACCUUGAUUCCUUGGCCAAAAAAAUUACUACUGGUUCCACAGGCUAUGGAAGACAUUUGAUAUUUUACAUAGGAAGGUGAUAGGAUCAAAAUUUCCCUUUAGUGAAUCUGGCAGUGCAGUUUAGAUGGAAGUGGGAAAGAGUGACCACUGGAAACAAGGUCAAAAGUCAUAACCAUAUGCCAAGGGAGAGAUGAUGGCUGGUACCUUGGAGGAGAGAGGAAACUACAGAUACAAGUCACUGACUAGGUGUGAAGAGAAAGAAGAAUCAAAGAAAACCUUGACAUGACAGAUCAGCAGAAGAUGAGUGUUCAGGGGGCUAGCAGACCCUUCAGAGGUACUGUCCACAGGCAGAAGGAAAUUCUGGUGUUUUGACAAAUGCUGCGGGUAAAGAUUUGGGUCUGGGAGAAACCAUGAGAGUGAAUGAAGUCGCCAAAGGAGAGAAUAAUAUCUGAAAAUCAAAUUUAAAAUACAUGUCUCCCCUGGUUCCUCACAGAUUUCCAAACAAAAAGACAAAUAUGUUACAACUAGAUUCUGAAGUAAAGGACCAAUGCUUUACUUCAGAAUUGGUCCUAUGAUUUAUUAAUGAAAAUGAUAGCCACUGAACUCAUGGCAGAAGCUGGGGGGAGAAGAGCUGGAGAGAGAGAGAGAAAGAGGCCUGAAAACAGUCUUUAGCAACAACUUUUGCUGGAGUUAUUAUUAAAUUCUCAGACUUCCAUCACAUAGAGAACUAAAA